rnacentral:lncRNA from 1 species
UCAGUGUCAUGUAUAACCAAGUUACUGUCAAUCCAAAAAUUUCUGCACAUCAAUAAAAAGAUAUCUAAGAACUUAGGAACAAUAUUCUUCUCACUACUGUAUAAAAAUAACCACAAUUAAUAGGUAUCUUGUGUAAUAUUUACUCCAUUGUCUCGUUUCCCGAAACUGUGACAAGCUGUAAAGGUAUUUCAGUGUUGGUAAGAAUAUCUUGAUUGCUGGUGCCAGAUGUAUUAACAGUUCCUAUUCCUGAAACAGAACCUUGUUGAAUAUUUGCAAGGAUAAGUGUUGUUCCUCCCGCAGUAAUCAAAGUAUCAUCAGAUGUUGCUUCUACUGAUGCCAGCACUGUACUGCUGGAGUGAAUACCUUUCUUAUUCUGGUGUGUUUUAAUGUGUUUGGCAAGAUGGUCACUUCUCAUAAAGCGUUUUGAACAUUCCGGACAGACGAAUUUCUUCUCACCUGUGUGCGUUCUUCGGUGUCGCUGAAGCUCAUCGCUGCGAGUGAACCUUUUGCCACAGAACAUCCAAUUACAAACAAAUGGACGCUCUCCAGAAUGCCAGCGGAGAUGAGCUCUCAGAUGUGAAGUCUUCCCAUAUACUUUGCCACACCCUGGUAUGUGACAAAUGUGUUGCUUCUUCUUUCCCAAGUUGGAGCCUCUUCCACCACCUUCUUUGCAGUUGGGACACGUGCAAGCUACUCGUCGCAGUCUUUUUCCCUCUUGAUGUGGUUGGUCCCCUUCCUCAUCUACCACC